rnacentral:rRNA from 1 species
AUGGGACCGGCGCCGCGGGAGGUGGUGGUGAUCAGCAGCUCCGACGAGGAGGAAGAGGUGGGCUCCGGAAGGUCGGUUCGCUCGCCCGCCCCCCUGGGAUGGGCCGCGAAGCUCGGGGACUCGGCGGUGCCAGCACCGCGGAGGCAUAAGGGCAGGUCCCGCGGCGUUCGCGCCGGCAACGACGGCGACUGCGAGGGUGAUGACUGCGUGGUUCUGGACGGCGACCCUGAUAAGCCGGUUGCGGUUGCGGGGGCGAAGGGGAGGAGUAGAAGGGAUGGCGUGCCGGGCGAGGUGGAGAUCGUUGCGGUGAAAGGCGAGAUAGCAUGCAAGGACUUCCCUCACUCGCGCCAUUCAUGUUCUGAGAUGCCCUUCAGCACCACUUCUCACGUGAAGCAUUGCAGCAUGUGCUACUGUUUUGUAUGUGAUGCUCCAGCUCCAUGCAAGUACUGGGGCCAAGGGCUCUUGAAUGAUGAUCAUUGCCAUGCCACUGACAAGGAAACAAAGUGGAAAAUACUGAGGCAAGCAUUUAAGUGCAAAAGUGUGUCAGCUGUUGAAAUGUGA